AUUGAACGCUGGCGGCAGGCUUAACACAUGCAAGUCGAGCGAGCGGCGGACGGGUGAGUAAUGUCUGGGAAACUGCCUGAUAGAGGGGGAUAAAUAAUGGAAACGGUGGCUAAUACCGCAUACUAUCGGAUGUACCCAUAUGGGAUUAGCUAGUAGGUGGGGUAAUGGCUCAACUAGGCGACGAUCUCUAGCUGGUCUGAGAGGAUGACCAGCAACACUGGAACUGAGACACGGUCCAUACUCCUACGGGAGGCAGCAGUGGUGAAUAUUGCACAAUGGGCGCAAGCCGGAUGCAGCCAUGCCGCGUGUGUGAAGAAGGCCUUAGGGUUGUAAAGUACUUUCAGCGAGGAGGCGUUACUCGCAGAAGAAGCACCGGCUAACUCCGUGCCAGCAGCCGCGGUAAUUC
rnacentral:rRNA from 1 species